CACUGUGUCAAGGAAAAAAGAUUUGAAAUGGAAGAUCAGGCUGUAAGGGUUUGGGUCACACUUUGGUCUGGGCAAUGAUCCCCAAAGGUGCCUCCCUGCUCUUUGAAGAUGAUGAGGUUCCAGACAGCCAGGACUGUGUCCUCAGGAACGUGGAAGUGGAAGAGUUCAGUGCUGGCAAAGGAGCGGAAUGGACUCAGCUUUCGGGGAGAUCUGACAAUUAGUAAUUGAGCAGAAGCACCAGACUGUCUUUCAUGUGGAGAACAAGUGAGCCUGACCUUCCAAAAGAGAUAAGAGGAGAUGGGGCUGACCAACAGGAGAGAAAGGAAGAGCCUCCCUUAUCAGAAGAAAAUCCCAUCCCACCAAGGUCGCUGAAAGAAGAGCCCUCACACACCCUAGUCUGCAUUAUAUCCAGAUGUUCAUAUUAUAAUUCCAAGAUAAUGAAUGCAUUCAUUUAAAGAUUGCCUGAUCCUGAAUAAGCCCCAUUGACACUCCAAGACAACGAUAAUAGCUCAGUUCUCUGUACAGAACCAACAACAUCCAGGUGACCUCCUUCAUGGUACUGAAACUGCCUCACAACAACUCCCUGUGGUCAGCAUUGCCUUCAGAAAGGAAAUAUAUUUGGGACUGCUAAGGAGACAAGUUUCCAACAUUCCAGUAAAUCCCUGACAUUUUGUUACGUCCUGUUUUCAGUCCUAGGGACAAUAAAGAUGAUUUAAAUUAAUGAUGUUACUCAAAGAAA